rnacentral:rRNA from 1 species
AACGAACGCUGGCGGCAUGCCUAACACAUGCAAGUCGAACGAUGGCUUCGGCCAUAGUGGCGCACGGGUGAGUAACACGUGGGAAUCUACCUGACAGUGGGGAAUAACAGAGGGAAACUUCUGCUAAUACCGCAUACGCCCCUUCGGGGGGAAAGAUUUAUCGCUGACAGAUGAGCCCGCGUCCGAUUAGGUAGUUGGUGGGGUAAAGGCCUACCAAGCCUUCGAUCGGUAGCUGGUCUGAGAGGAUGAUCAGCCACACUGGGACUGAGACACGGCCCAGACUCCUAGGGGAGGCAGCAGUGGGGAAUAUUGGACAAUGGGCGCAAGCCUGAUCCAGCAAUGCCGCGUGAAUGAUGAAGGCCUUAGGGUUGUAAAGUUCUUUCGGGUGGGACGAUGAUGACGGUACCACCAGAAGAAGCCCCGGCUAACUUCGUGCCAGCCGCCGCAGUAA